rnacentral:rRNA from 1 species
AGUGAACGCUGGCGGCAGGCCUAACACAUGCAAGUCGAGCGGCAGCGCGGUGUAGCAAUACACUGGCGGCGAGCGGCGGACGGGUGAGGAAUGCGUCGGAAUCUGCCUCUUUGUGGGGGAUAACGUAGGGAAACUUACGCUAAUACCGCAUACGACCUACGGGUGAAAGUGGGGACCUUCGGGCCUCACGCAGAGAGAUG